rnacentral:rRNA from 1 species
AUGUCUCCUCUUCUGUUCAAUAUUGUGGCAGAUAUGUUGGCCAUCAUUAUUGGCAGGGCCAAGCAGCAUGGCCAUGUAGAGGGUUUAGUUCCUCAUCUAGUCGAUGGAGGAGUCUCCAUUCUACAAUAUGCUGAUGACACUAUCUUAUUCAUGGAACAUGACAUGGCAAAGGCUCGUAAUAUGAAACUUAUCUUAUGCCUCUUCGAACAAUUGUCUGGCUUAAAAAUAAAUUUUCAUAAGAGCGAGUUGUUCUGCUUUGAGAAGGGCAAAGACGAGGAACACACUUACAGACAAUUGUUCGGAUGUGAAUUAGGUGCUUUACCCUUCAGUUACUUGGGUAUUCCGAUCCAUCACCGUAAAUUAUCCAAUAAAGAAUGGAAGUGUAUUGAAGAAUGA